CCUACGGGAGGCAGCAGUGGGGGAUAUUGCACAAUGGGGGGAACCCUGAUGCAGCGACGCCGCGUGGGUGAAGAAGCGCCUCGGCGCGUAAAGCCCUGUCAGCAGGGAAGAAAAUGACGGUACCUGAAGAAUAAGCCCCGGCUAACUACGUGCCAGCAGCCGCGGUACUACGUAGGGGGCAAGCGUUAUACGGAUUUACUGGGUGUAAAGGGGGCGCAGACGGCGAUGCAAGCCAGGAGUGAAAGCCCUGGGCCCAACCCGGGGACUGCGCUUGGAACUGCGUGGCUGGAGUGCAGGAGGGGGAGGCGGAAUUCCUGGUGUAGCGGUGAAAUGCGUAGAUAUCAGGAGGAACACCGGUGGCGAAGGCGGCCUGCUGGACAGCAACUGACGUUGAGGCCCGAAAGCGUGGGGAGCAAACAGGAUUAGAUACCCGUGUAGUC
rnacentral:rRNA from 1 species